AUCGGUGGCAAAUAUCGAGUUUGAACCGAUAUUAUCGAUGUUUCAAAAAUAUCGAUGCAUCGUUUGCAGCCCUAAGUACCACUGGUUGCAGCUGUUUGCACCAAUUGAAAAUAAUGAAUAGCGUAUUCCUUGUUGGUCGAGUGUCCGGGAAAAGAUGUAAA